CUACUGGGGUUUCUAAUCCUGUUUGCUCCCCACGCUUUCGCACCUCAGCGUCAGAACCGGGCCAGUGAGCCGCCUUCGCCACUGGUGUUCUUCCGAAUAUCUACGAAUUUCACCUCUACACUCGGAAUUCCACUCACCUCUCCCGGUCUCGAGACAUCCAGUAUCAAAGGCAAUUCUUGGGUUGAGCCCAAGGCUUUCACCUCCAACUUAAAUGUCCGCCUACGUGCGCUUUACGCCCAGUAAUUCCGAACAACGCUAGCCCCCUUCGUAUUACCGCGGCUGCUGGCAC
rnacentral:rRNA from 1 species